rnacentral:lncRNA from 1 species
CCCUAACAAAGUCUCGGAAAAAUUUUUCUGUGUCGCAUGCAUACUUCUUGACCAGUGAAUCCACAGAACUGCCAUUGAAGAGCUCUUGAUCAGAGUGAAGAAGGCCCUUCUUCUGCAGUAAAUUGCGGUAGUAAAGGUUGUCAAAGAAGGUCGGCGUUUGGAUGUCUAGCCUUUGAAGGACACUAUCAUUUCCAAUCUUGGGACAUGUCUUCUGCAAUUUAUGGGCGAAGGAUGUAUCUAUGUUCAAGUCGUUGUAGAUCCGUCCUCGGAAGGAACUGCAUCUCGCUAGGCCAAUGGUAUGUGAACCUGUCAAUUUGAAAACCACUGUCAGCUGAUAAAGUACAUCGACAUUGCCAAAACAGAAUCACGAUAGGUGCUGAAUUCUGGUUCUUUUCUUUUGAAUAUUCUUGGUUGUAAUGCGCGGUGCAAGGUUGCUAAUAUUGAGUUGAAAUUACCAGAAAGAGCCACCAUGUUCUUGACUGAAAGACCCUUAGCAGCGAAGCUGGUUAUGAGAGCACUGAGAUUAGAAGCAGGUGAAGGUAGGGUGUUAGCAAGGCUCCUGCUAGCAGUAAUGGAAUCCCUUCUCCCUAAGCUUACGGUCCAUGAAGGACCUCCCAACUGGGACCAUGUCACACGAGAAAACAUAGAAGAAAUCAGGAAAAAAAUAGAUUUGUCCGAUUAUAACCGUCGAGGCAAAAAUGUACUAAAUUAGAGUCGACAUAUUCUCAUUUCUUUUAUUUGCGAGACUUUUUAAGGUCAUGAAGAGGACUUGCAUGAACGACUGAGUCGCGAGCAGCCAGGGCAACGAUAUCUGCACAGGAAACCACUCCAGGGCACUCCUUCUCCAGACUAGCCUUGAUGCGGUCGAUCACUUCGAACCCUCUCACGGAGUUGUUGUUCGGACCUGCUGUUUUCUCGCCCACGAAGCUAGGCGUGUCAUCCAACAAUAUCGACGCAUCGCACCCCUGACCAAUUCGUAGAUACACACAUCAAUAUUGAGGAGGAAGGAAAAGAAGAGGAAAACUCUGGAAGGCUAAUGAAUCAAAGUGGGAUCGUUUCGCAAGGAAUCUCUAGAAGACGCGAAUCACAUUGACAAAGCAGUCAUGGAAGUGCAGCCGAAGCAAGGACGCGCCUGUCCGGGUCUCAUUCUUGAUUGCUUUUGCUACUCCAGCUCGAACAAUCGACAAUGCUUUCGGACAUGUUGAUUGAUAAUGACUGGGCGAGAGCUUACAACCGGCAGUGGUGAUAACCGAAGUGGCAAGGAGGACAACGACGAUGGAAAAGCCGACGAUAUUGUGUGUAGCCAUGACAUGAAUUAUCGAUAUGUUCCUGUUGAAAACCAGCAAGAGCACACACUCAGAUGAAGUUUCUCUGGCGUAAGGUUAACGCGGAAAUCUUGGGAUAAUAUAUAACUCCGCGAUUGCGGUGAAAUAAAAGCUUGAAAAUAACAGUUCCUUUUCCGGCUUUUUCCGGGCAGGGAGACGCUGAUUAGAUAACGUCGCAUCUUUGCUAGGCAGCUUCACCACCAGAGAUUUUCAUGGAGCGAUAACCAUGUGAGAAGACUGCAUUAUUUUGCUCUCCGUAGUACUAAAAAUAAUGGUGCAUGGCUUGGGAAAGUUACAUGCGUCGUGUAGUGGGACCACAAAAGUGACCCCGCCUUGAGCUACCGACCAAAAGCGAUCGAUUACCGACCAAAAGCGAUCGAUUACCGUGCUGAUGCGAAUCAUUUACCUAUGUUAAGCCUCCCUUUCUUCUUUGGUUGAAACCUAUUUUUAAAAAUGACAGAGAUGCAAAAUUUUCACGGAUGUGAUUUUUUCAUUUGGUACUGGCUUGAAUUUAGGAAAAAUGACACUAGAAGUAUCAUCAUUUCAUAUAAUGCUUACUUCAGUGCAAAAACUUUCAAACAAAACACUUCACUGCCACUUUAUAUCUAGAAAGAUCAUUUAGGUGUUAACUACGAUUUGAGAUGCUAAGAAUUUGAGGGGAAGAACUAUGAAAAAAGUUCUAAACUUGUUAUAAUUGUAUCGAGUCAAUAUUAAACCUUUUUUUUAACUUGGAUGUCGUCUAUUCCACAUAGGACAGCCAGUGUUGAUAUGGACGCCAAAUCGGUUGUGCCUAUCGGCUAAAAUUGGCUUAAUGCAUUAAAUUGGCAAGUUCAUAAUUUAAUUGGUUAAAAAAAUGUUUAAUAUUGAAUUUAUAGAAUUGCAAUAUGUUUAAGAUUAUUUUGAAAAUUUUCACAAAUUUGAAGUGACAAUAUCUUGUCAUUUUUUAUGGUUGACUUGGCUCACAAACCCUCUAAGUCAACAUAAAUAGUCCUAAGAACAUCAUUCAACAAGUUUGCCUCAAAUUUAAACUCUAAAUGGACAAAUCAGGUCGUUUCCCUCUUCUAAUUAAACUCUAAUUUGCAGCAAAAGGAAUGGCAAUUCUUAAUAGAGAAUGAUGGCUUUUCAUGCAGGCUGUUUCUUUCUUCAGGGGUUGUCGACGGUAAGCUAUGGCUAUGGGGAAGGGCAACGGUGGACGCCUAGGGCUUGGUCACGAGGACCAACCCUGACCUGGACGCUCUCGGUGCAUUGCUCUAGGCGGACUUGACUCAGUCGCGCUGGAAUCGCUUGGUCGAAGGUCUGCACUCGGUGCAUUGCAUUUCUCCCUUGAAGCGAUUGGGAGUGAAAAUGUUGUCGCUUUUGUUUUUGUACUUGAUUUGAUGGGAGCAGGAGUAAUGAUGGUUUUGGAACGCUUUUUUGCGACCUGGUCAUCGUAGAGAGCUCUGUGCUGAGAUUGGUGGAGGGUCGUGGAACAGGAGGAAAUACUGGAAAAGCUCUGACAUGACGAAAUUCACAAAACCUAGAACAAAUGGAAACUGCAAAGCCUGAAGAGUAGAAAAGAAAUCUGGAUAACGCAACUGUCCAGGCAUUUUAAAGAAGAAGCAGAAGAGAGUUCGCGCAGUCCACGCGAAGCUGCCGGGUUGAGAUUUUCUUUCUAUUUAUAAAAAAGCCACGGAGGCAUUAACAUUUUACAAAAAAUGGCCGUGUAGGAUUUUUUUUUUUUUUGUCAGAAUCGUUGGAGGCAGUUAAUUAGUCGAUUUUCAUUUAAUGUGACAUCAUAAAUGAUCCGACAAAAAUUUUAAAAUUGAAAUAAAAGCCUUGCAAAAAAAUAUGAUGUGUCUAGUAUCCUUUUCUUUUUGCAUUUAUUAUGUGUCGAGUGCCAGCUGCAACUGUGGAGAUUAUUGAUAUGCUUGUCUUCUAGGAAAAGAAGGAUGCGGCCCUACUUAAUGCUUUUUUCAUGAAGUGAUUCCUCAUAAGGCAACACUGCCUAUUGUUAUUAUUCGAAGGGUUGAGAAUUUCUUGUUAUAUUAUAUAUUAAAAAAAGCCACGUAGGCAAUAACGUCUUACAAGAAAAAAGUCACUUAAGAAGUUUUGUCUGAAUUUGUUAUCAGAUGUAUUUAAUUAAUUGGUUUUCCUUUAAUAUAGCACUAGAAGUUAUCGAAUGAAAAGUUUCGGAACUAAAGUUGACGUGAUAUAAAAAAUUGUGGCAUCUUCUAGCAUCCUUUUUUCCCUUGGAUCUAGUACGUGCCAAGCGUUGACUGCGAAUAUAGAAAUUAUCGACAUGCCUAUAUUCUAGGCGUAGGAUAAGGCGACCCUACUUUGAUGCUUUCUCACAAAGCAAUUCAUCAUAAAGCAACACCGCCUAAUGACAUUGACCCUAUUUGGUUUAGCAUUUGGAAUGUUCAUUUGGGUUCUAAAGUCCCUUGGCUAAAUGCAAAAGUGUUUGGUUCGUUUUUUUGCGCGACUUUGGCGAGAUGCAAUUGCAUCUCCAAGUGGCUCUAAGGGUCUUUAGCACAAUGCAGCUCUUGAGGUCGUUUAAAAAGUUGCAUCUUCGGAAAUGCAACUUCCGAUAUUAUUCAUAUUUCUGGUAGAGAAGCCGAUCGGUCGCCUAAAUAAAAAUAAAUAUAAAAAUAAAUAUGUUUAUAUUUUAUAUAAAAUAUAUAAACAUAUCUAUUUUUUAUAUUUUAUGUUUAAUAAAUAUAUUUAUAAAAAUAUAAUAUAUAUUAUAUAUUUAUAUAAAAUAUAUAUUUUAUAUAGAUAUAAAUAUAUCUAUUUUUAUAUAUAAAUAUAUUUAUGUUUAAUAAAUAAAUAUAUAUUUAUAAAUAUACAUAUCUAUUAUAUAUAUUUUAUGUUUAUAUUUUUAUAUUUUUUAUAUAAAAAUAUGUUUAUAUAAAAAAUAUAAACGUAAUUUUCAUUCAGGUGGUUCGGCCGCCGGAUUCAGCGAUCCAGUGACCGGACUUCAAAAAAAAUAUAAACAUAUUUUUGUUUUUUUAAUUUAAUAAAAGUUAAUUAUAAAUACAAAUUUUAUCAAACAGUAUUUUGACCAAAGUUAUUUUUUAAUAUAAAUUUUAUUAAACAACAUUUGCAUUUCAAAAAACCCUAUUUAUCUAAAGGUAUUUGCAUUCCUAUAAAUUCAUUCUCCAGCUUAACUAAACGGGCUAUUAUUAGUUGGAUACCCUUCGCUUUCGCGUCACGUGGUGUGUCCAAUCACGUGGCAAAGACCGAAGAUUAAAGCAACGAGUUCGGACUGUCCUCGUAAUGUGCUGGCCACCGAUGGAUGGCCCUCGUGAGGGUGGAGGAAAAAGCAACGCCUUUAGCCAAAAGCAAUUAUGGUUAUUGGACGAUACGACGUGCAUGUGUCUGUCUCUCUUUGUCCUUUGUUUUUUAUACUGUUCUUCUGAUUGUGAGUCGACAUAAAUCAGGACAAAGUUCAUUCAAAAUUGCUUUUGUUCCCAUAUACGAACCGACGCAACAGUACGCGAAGUGGUGCCUUUGACACUCUUUUUAAGUCUAUAAAAUGUCUUGAUCCGCUAGCAUUUGGCGACGCUUUUAACUUCACUCGUUUUGCUCUCGAUCACUCGAGUUCAUUUCUUCCCUUUUUAUUUCUUUUGAUUUGUAUUUCAAGAAGACGAUAGAAGGAUUUUAGAGUUAAUCGGAUUGUUUAUUCAGGUGCGUGUUACAACGCUUGGAGGAGUCCAUUGUGUAUUAAGAGUAGGAUGUUAUUGAUUAUUGCAUAUGGAUGGGGACGGAAAUGAACUUUGGAGUGAGUGCUAAUCAUAGCAUGCCUUGAAUCCGGUUUUAUCCCCUCGCUUAUUUUUUAAAUUUUCUUGCAUUUUUUACAAAACUUGGGGGGACGCUUGUUCUUCCCUCAUCAAAAUGGGUUUUGUCCCGCGCAUCACUUUAUUCGGAAAAUUGUUCAAAAAAGCCUUUAAACCUACGGCAUUGUUUAAACAUUUUAAGUUUACCAAUUCAAUUGAAUCUAAACCUUUUCAUGAUUUACUACUAAAGUUCAUUGGACCAAUUUUAACUAAAAUUGCUAUCGUAUAUGUCGGUAGUAUCAUGUAAAAUGACUAAUAUUGACAUGGAUAAUUUUUUAUAACAUUUUUAUAAAAUAUUUUCUUAUAUUUCUUUUUUUUUUACCAAAUCGGGCAAGAGUUGGUUGACCCUCACCAAUCCUAUUGGUAACUACUUGGUAGAAAAAAAAUGAAAGAAAAAAAUAAAUAAAUUAUAAAAUAUUCAUAAAAUUAAUUUCUUUAUAAAUUAUUUACAUUAAUGCUGAUUAUGUUACAUAAAACGGUCGUUGUUUAUUUCUAGUUAAGAUUGAUUAGAUGGACUCAAUUGAUAAAAUAUGAAAUAGUUAUGACUUAAUUAGUAAAUUGAAAGAUUUAGAAUUAAAUUAAUAGAAAUAUAGUAAGUUCUAAGAUUCUUUGGAUAAUUUUUUGCUCACUUUAUCUCUAGGGACGGUUUUAUUGCUUUAGCCGGAGUUUGCAAUAGGGGGAACGACACCGCUGUCCUCAGUAGCUCCUUUCCAAUUCUGCACUCAUUAAAUUUCGUCAGACAAAAGGAAUCGUCUCCAAGAAAAGGCCGUCUCUAAAGCCAAAAAUAUCCAUCCCUAGGAAUCAUCAGCGACGACAUGGCUUCGUCACUGUUGUUGUGUGGUGUGACCUGAGGUCGUCGCGUGUGAUUUUCUAAUGAUAAUCCGUUGCCAAAGAUUCCGUUGGAGACGAGCUUUCCCCUUGCCCAAUUAGGGAGCUGUUUUCUGAUUUCCAGCGCCUGUAAUUCUAAAGUCUCUUUAUUACGGCCGUCGCUGAAGAUUGCACCCAAGGGACUCCACUACUGUCCCUAGUAGCUCCUUUUCAAUCUUGCACUCCUCACCAACAGAAGGGACCGUCUCCAAAAGGUAAAAAAGGCAUACCAAAUAAAAGAGUAAUUAAAACCAUCAAAUGCGAAAUAGUUUUUUUUUUAGGUGCGUUUCGGGGAGUUCUGGAGGAAUUUAAAGUCAUUUUUCCAAGGAUCUUUGACUCGAGGUGUAUUUACUCAAAAGCAAAUGUCGUUCGAUUAAUUGACAUUUGGUCUAUCUUUUGCAAAUAAGUAUUGAAGGAAAAAACGACAAAAAAUAGAGUUAUGGCUACCGAAUGAUGGAGAGGAAAUCAUCGUGGAAGAGGCCAGGAGAAACAUUUGGCACCAUCAUUGACUGAAGCAACUCGCUGGCGGCAAUUGAACCAUUGACGAUGCCGAAAGGUUACGCAGCCUUCGACGGCCCAGCGCACGAACUCAGUGACCUAGAUCGUGCAAAUCCAGACCUCACCAAUUAAGACCCAUGAUUGUCGACGACCUCGACAAUCUUACGUGACUGUUAGUGAGCCUCGUAUAACCCUCGAUGAAGCAUCAUACUAGCGACCCUAAGCUAAAAUUGGUGCGUCACUUUUAGAUCACCUUGAUCCUCGACACCCUCCAUGAACCGUGGUGACCCUCGGCCACCCUAUGCAAUAUUUGAUGACCUAGGCAAGGCGAAGCCAAGGUUGGCGCAACCUUGGUGACCUAGAUUGUGGAAACACAAAUCUUGCCUCUACCGUCCAAAUCUAGUCUCGACCAUCAGCACCAUACGCAAUUGUGACGACCCUUGACGAUUGCUUGGGAACUUUGCGUGACACUCGAUGGAGCUUCACAUGAAUAAUUCAAAGAUGGAGAACCUCCAUAUUUGGAACGUUGGUUUCAAAGAGAACAAUUGUUUCAUGAGUUCAAGAAUGGAAUACAGAGAUAUUAGAGAGGGUAAGAUUGAAAGAAAAAUAAUUUUAUAUAACCUUGGAAGUAGUGUUUUCAAAUUGCUGAAAGUCAAUGCCAGCCCCAAGUUGCAUCGAGCUCUCGAUAUUUGCAAAACCAACUUUGACCUCAAGGCCUUUGUGAUUAGAUUACAAAAUGCCUUGACUUUGGCACAAGAGAGGCCUAAACUCCAGUGGCAAAAUUUGCCAAACGCACAAAGCAUUUAGAGGAAAUAAAAAUAUAGGCCUAUAAUCUAUUUGGGUCGAGGCCACUUUCAGUGGAUAUAUAAUCAACAUAUAUUUUGCGGAGAAAUAGUAGGAAGACUCGAAAGGGUGGCCCAUAUAUAGAAGGCCUUGAUUGCAAAAACGUACCUUAAAAUAAUAGAAUUGACAAGAUGGGCCAAGUUUGCACCUUUCAAUCUCUGAUCUCAACUCAACAACUGAAGUUCUGAACACUCUGUUCAACACUGACUAAAAAGAAACUAUCUGACUGAUCUACUGAAGCUGGGAACCUCUGGUCAAGAUCUGAUAUAACUUUGACACUGAUCUCGGCAAUUGCAAUCACUGACUACUGUACUGACCCUGGCCUGUGAUAUUUUUUUCCCUAACUUCAUCUCAGCAAUUGAAAUUCUGCACUCUCUGCUAUGCGCUGCUUAAGAAAGAACCAUCUGAAAGCUCUACCAACUUGGAACAUCUGAUCUAGAUUUGAUAUACAAUUCAUCACUGGCACUCCAUGCAGAUGAAUUAUAUCAUAUACAUACACUUCGGUAUACCUAUUCUAAUCGAGAUCUUUGUGUACUGUACUAAGGUGAGUUGACUCCGUUCAUCUGACGACCACAACCCCAUAAGGAAUCAAUACUCUUCCCAACUCCUUAAUAAGUCUGUCAUAACAUUUCAUCAUGCUAUACUUCCAUUCCCACAAAGGACUUUCUCAAGUGCUUGAAAAAGCUUUCCUGGUUUACAUUACAAAAUUCUCACUUACUGAUACAUCCAACACUUAUAACUUGUUUGACGAUAUCUAUCUUCAUAGUGGUCUACCAACCAAUCUGAUGUCGAUUCUGACCUACUUCGAAUUAUCUGAUCAAAUACUACAGCUGCUACAGUGAAUUUCUGUCAAGGUCUUCUCCUCAAGUUCCUUACUGUCUGACACCCAUCAUCACCGACGAUACCUCAGCAUUCUAUCUUCAAAAUCUAAAAGUCAACAUUUCUCUUAUCGGUAUCCUCUUACAGGAUUUCUUGAACAUCCCAAUCUAACAAUUGAAACGUCUGCUUUUAACCCGAAUAUUCGAUUUAAUUCUGAGGGUUGCCAUAAGAUUUAAAAUGUGGCUUACCUCAAAUUUGAAAACCGAAUCUUGUGCCUUCUCAAUUAAAACCCAUUCCUUGAGUACCAUCUGCGCUACUGAUGACUUCUAACUUAAGGCAUCUGCGACCUUAUUCGUUUUUCCUAGGGAAUAUCGAAUAUCAUAAUCCUAGUCCUUCCAAAGUUCUGAUUCACAACGCAAUUUCAAAUUCAAUUCCUUUUGAGAGAAUAAAUACUGAAGAUUAAGCUAGACAGUGAAGAUCCAAAAUCUUUCUCCACACAUAUCGUGUCUCCAAAUCUUCAAGACAAAGAUAAUUGCCACGAGUCCUAGGUCAUGCGUCGGAUAAUUCAACUCACGAGAUCUCAACUGACAGGACGCAUAAGAAACAACCUUAUCAUGCUGCAUCAACAAGCAACCCAAUCUUUUAAAUGACACAUCACUGUAGGUCUCGAAUCCUAUUGGACUAGACGAUAUAGUAAGCACAAGUGCAGUAGUUAGCUUCUGCUUAAGUUCUUGGAAACUACUUUCGCACUUAAUUGACCACACAAACUUUUCUUCCUUCUUCAGAAGUCUUGUCAACGGCGAUGCUAACACUGAAAAACCCAUAUACGAAUUGUCUGUAAUACCCUGCUAAACCCAGAAAACUUCUGAUCUCUGUCAUUGUAGUCAAUCUUGGCCAAUUGUUCACUGCUUUAAUGUUGGACGGGGUCUAUGGAGAUUCCUUCUCUUGAAAUCACAUGACCUGGGAAUGCAACACGAGUCAUCCAAAACUUGCAUCUGUUAAGCUUAUUGUAAAAUCCAAAAGUACUCAAGGUUUGAAGUACCAUCCCCAAAUGUCUCUCGUGCUCUUCAGCACUCUUUGAACACACUAGGAUAACUUCAAUGAACACGAUCACAACUGAUUUAAGUACCCUUAAACAUUCUGCUCAUAAGACCCAAACAAAUAGCUAAGGUGUUCGUCAAACCACACGGUAUUACAGUGAACUCAUAACUGUCGUAUCGAGUGCGAGAUGCUAACUUCGGUAUGUCUUUCUUCCUGAUCCUUAACUAAUGAUACCCUGACCUCUAGUCGAUCUUAAGGAAUAUCGAUGUACAAACACAAUGAACCAAUUUUCUUCUUCAUGAAUAGAACAGGUGCUUCCCAAGGUGAUGCACUAGAACGUAUGAAUCUCCUAUCCAAUAAUUCCUGCAUCUGCACCUUUAGUCCUUUUAACUCGGGUAACACCAUUCGAUAAGGAGUCUUAAGGACUGGCUCUGUUCUGGGUGCUAAUUCAAUCACGAACUCUAUUUCUCUUUCUAACAACAAACUUGACAAUUUUUCAGAAAAUAACUCAGAAGACUUCUAUACUACGAUUAUGUUCUCCAUAUUCGGCCCCUCAACUGACGCAUCCAUUACAGUUGCCAUGUAGAUUCGAUAACCAACAACCUGAACUAGGUCAUCUUCAGUGACGAAUAACAAGGAUUGAAGUUCCUCUUCGACUUUCAGUGAUUCAAAACUUUCGCACGCUAACUGAACAAGCUGAAUUACAUCACUACUACAAUUCAAAACAACAUAAAACUCCUUAAGCCAAACAUUUUUAUAAAUGACUUCCAAGUCAUACUUAAGCAAACCUUUCAAAUACAAUUAUAGUCAGAGAUUCAUCUUUCUAUCACUUUAUUACCACUACGAAGAUCCUACAACCUUCACUAAAAAUUAUGCUAUACUACUCUAAUAAAAACAUCUCACAAGCAUUCUUCUUCUGAUUGAUGCAUGGUCGAUCCCUUCAUGCUUCUCUAGCCAUCCUAGUGGCGUCCUAUCUGCAAUAACAAUGCUUACGCUCUCCUGAACUUACGCGGGCAGUUUUUAACCUGACGGUCGUGUUGGCCAUAUUCAAAUCAUGCUCCAUUUUUUGCACUGAGGUCCGUUUCAAGUACCCCACUAAAUGUCCCGAAGCAUGUUUCCUAUGUUCUAUCUUAUCAACAGCGGUGUUAGGAACAGUUGUGAUUCCAUCUGUCUAUGCGGACAAUCUUUAAUCAAAUGACUGUAUUGACGACCCUUAUAACAAGUCAUUUCUCUCUUACAGCAUAGAAUAGAUCCAUGUCUUUUCUUACAGACACGGCACACAUCGAUCGAGUUGAGCACUGACUUUCCCAAUUCUACUCUUCCGGUUGGUUGAAAUAGGGCACAUUUCUUCUGACAUUGGCCUUUCUCCCCGAUCGAAUUCAAUCUCUGUCUAUACUGAACCUUGACUCAGAUACGGUGGCUUGAUCCUCAAUCACAACUCCAGAUUGGGCCUCAACAGGCGUGGCAACACCAACGGUCACAAUACUGGCAGCGGUAGAAAGAACGGCAACAGCAGCGACUCGAUCCUGAGCUUACUGACCCAAAAUGCUUCCCAAAGACUCUAGCGCCUGAACGAUCCCAACGAACCUAGGAUCGUUCGGUGCUGCCACACUCUAAGUACCGACUUGCGGCGGUACUCUCACACUUGCGCUGGUCUAAGCCUACGCUCUACCUUGGGUACCAACUCAUGUCAGCGUCCUACCCUAAGAUAUAGGUCCUACUAACCUCCUCCAAGGAGUUCUCCACUCUUGGUCACUCAUCCUACAGGCUCUUUAUAGACGCCUGUUUUCUGAUUCCAACAUCAGGUUAGAAUUUGAGUGACCCCACAAACACACUACAAACAACUAUCAACCAUAUGCAUCAACAUAUUAAAAGCCUUUCCUACUAACUAUCCCAUGACUCAUUGCACCUUAUCACUUCAUACACAGACCAUGCUCUGAUACCACUUAAAUAGGGAUGUCACGCACCAAACCUCGGGUGCGCCAACAUCCCACCAUGAUCAUUCAAAUGCGACGUUCCUAGGAUAAGUCGCCGACCCAAUUAAUUCUUUAAUGCACAUGCGGAAGCAUGUUAUAAAACCCCUGACAAUAAAAUAUGAAAUAGAAAAGUAUGAAGCAAUUUCUCAACAAUACACUUUCAUAAAUCAACGGAGUUACAAACGAAGGCCUACAGCCAAAAGUUUACAAAAGACCGGCUCUAAAGAAAGAACUGUCCUACGACCUACAAGUCGGACAUGUUCUCCAAUCUUCCUGACUUCACCUCUGCAACUCCUUAAGGCCAACCAAAGCGAUCUGAUUGCUCCGUCCACAAGGGACCUAAAAAUGUUGGCCCACAACGGGGUGAGACAUUGUCUCAGCAAGUUCACCCCCCUAAAUCCCUAUUAGAAAGAAAAUACACCCCGGGUGGCCUAGCCACAUCACACAAAAGACUUACCUCGUCUUAACUCCUUCCUGCAGAUUAACACAAUUUGUAUCACACAAUCUCAAGUAAUAAUAAUAAUUCAAACAAUUGAAACGUCAUCACUUUCAUAUAAAUCACAAUCGUACUUAGCACGCAUUCCAAUUAUUAUUCACUGUCACACAAAGGCAUAGUCUAUUCGCAGUUCGAUUAUCUACUGGCAUUAAUGCCAGACAUCGCCUCCCCCCUUAGAGCGCGACUUCGUCACUACAUCGACGGCAUUCCCGAAGAAGCAUAGGUCAAGUUGGCCUAGCCUCUACUACGACCUGCAUCCAUUGUAAAAGGCAUUGCAUAUAGGGACAAGUUCGGCUCAACAGCCCAUGACGAUUCCUCUUAAUUAUCACACAGCAAAAUCAUACUCGGCCCCAGGACACUUUGCAUUUCACUUAAUGCUUCCACUUAAAAUAGUGAUCUUGACCAUUUUUCUUCAUAUUAAAAAUAUUCCAUAAAUUACUCACAUGUGUGGGGGCACGCUAAUUUUGAACCAGAAAGCCAAUAUCUCACUUUUUCAAACCCCCACUAUUUAAUAUAAUCAUUAAAAUCCAAUUUUUUUGCAUCAAAACCCGACACUUGGGUUUUUAUGAAUAAAAUCCCUAUUUACCACAAUCAACACUCAAUUUGCCACAUCCUUUCAUCAAAUUCUAAAGGCACAGCAGCGAUCAGCACGAAAUUCUGAGCAAUUGAGGUCAUAACUAAUUUUUUUGAAUUUUAUUUAUUUUAUUUUCUUAAAUAAUUUUCUGAAUAUAAUAAAUUAUUAAAAAUUCCAGAAUUUCGAAACAUUUAAUUAAAUCAAAAAUAAAACCUAUUAUGUCACAUCAAGGCUUAUAUUAAAAUAAACAUACUUAAUUUUAAACUAAACACACUUUAACUUAAUUAAACAUCCUAAUCUAAUCAUCAACAAAAUAAAUUAAUUUAACCACCUAAACUUACUUAACUUAGACUAAGCACGCUUAGGGCAUCAUUAACCGUCUAAUCAAGAUUUAGUGAGCUAAACUCACCGGAUUAGCGAGCCGAGCGGACCAAAACGACGGGGACGCCGAGGAGAACAACUUUCCUCAAAGUGGGCCAAGCAUUUGGGGCCGAGAAGCUGGCCAAAACGGGCCAAAACCGGGCUGCCGUACCCAUUUUUGUUUGUUGCGUUGGUGCCGAUGGGGGGAAACAAGCUGGCUUGGGAUAGAAACUAGUAGGGGAAGACCGGCGGUGGCUUGGAUGGGCCAGUGGGGAGGUCGACAGCAGCUCACGGUGGUGGGGACAAGCUCCGACAGCUCAUGACGCAAACAGACAGAGGUUGAGACGUAGUUGGGGCUCGGCUGAAGUAGGAACGACGGCAUGAGAAGGUGAGGUCGCGCGGUAGCAGCGGCGUGCAAGGCGGCGGACAGCGCGCAAGCGGCAACGGCGGUCCGGCUAGACUGUAGCCAGCUUCAACAUUCUCAGAUCUGCUGGAGGGUUUCGAACAACAACCAAAGAAGAAGAACUCGACACCAGCAGGAGGGAGAGAGGGGCGGAGGUGUGCACGGGUAGGACGGCGGCGUCGCGGCGGCGGAUCUAGCUCUGACGGAGGCGUGCAACAGCGAUGGUUGCUCGUUUUUGCUUCACGGCUUCUUGGGUUGCUGUUGGAGUCGAGACAGCAAGGAGAGGGAGGAAGGAGAUAGCAACCGGAGAGAGAGAGAGAGAGGGAGGAGAGAGAGAGAGAGGGACCACUUUUCUCCUUCUUCUUUUUUGACUCAGAGAACCCACGCACCGUACCAACACGGACAGCCCGAAAGGCCCGAGGUAAUGAGGGGUAAACCUUGGGGGCAACAUGUGCUAGCCACUACACACGUGCCACCGGAUAAGUCACCCUACGAUGCCCAAGAAUCGAAUUCCUCCCCUUGCGUUAAGGGGAGAAGCUCGCUGUCAGUAGCGCCACCCAGAUAGGUGGUCAAUUUUCUCCUUUUUUUUUUCUUUAAUCCAACAAAAAUGGCCCACCAUGUGAGUUGUCUUCCACCCACAAUUUCUAGACCAAUUUACCCUCUUCUAGAAGUUUUAAUAAGUCCAAAUGUUGGGUCCAAUGGGGUGCUACGAAUUUGGAAGGGAAGUUGCACAAUUUGGACUUCAAUCCUUCGUGAAUCAAUUUAAUCUGGCCUUUGAAAAUUUAACUAUCGAGUCAUCGGUCCAAUUAGCAUUUUUCCUCAUCAAUAUAACUCACUAGCAUCCCAACUUCGAAAUCAAAAACGGUCCUCUGCAAAUUCUGAUCGAAAACGGCCCUACCUCGACUUUUUCUCAAAAAGUCUUAGGUUGCUGAAAAAUCUUCUGAGGUUGAGUCGACACUCUUAAAAUGACCUGUAACAUAGUAGAACUCUUAAUUUUUGAAUUUGGGUUUAAUUUCAUGGUUAAUUUCAAUUCGGCGCGAAUUUAGUGCGUCAUAAUCUAUCGGGUAACUUUUAGAAAUUCUUGUGCAUUUGACCUGUGGUUGCUUAUUUUCAAGCCACAAAGUACAUCUUCGACACAUUGGCGACUCUCGAUUGUCGUAGAAAUUUCAAGGUUUUAAAUACGGACACAGGAUACCAAAACGACAGAAGAAUCGAUCUAGUGCCGAUUGACAAGAAUUGUGCAAUUAGAUGGAAUCACCCACACUUAAUCACACACCUUUGUCGAGUCGACCUAUCUUCGAUUUCUAAUCGAUCUUACUGUGUUGUAAUAAUCUCUUACAGAUUCGCAUGGUCGAGCAAUCGUUUCCUAGCCGAAUUCUCAAAUUUGAUGCGUUAGAAUUCCUUAACGGCUUCUCCUAAUAAACUAGUUAUCCCAUGAGUGAUCAGUUCAGGGAAAAGAACUAUAAGCACGUCAAUGAAAUGCCCAACUAUAUCGAUCGAAAUCAAAACCUGAAAUUCAAAAUAUCACAUAUUUUCAUUACUAUUGUUAUUCAACACGUUCUUUUGUUACUAGGAUUAGUAUUAAACUUGUUGCGGCGAGUUGAAGAUGUGUACCCAUCGAAAUCCACCUACAACAUAUAUGUGUACGUUCAUUGCAAGAGAAAUCUAGCAUAAUAUACACUUUGAAAAUUUCAAAUUAACUAAUCACUACUCUUUCACUUGUGUUUCUAGUUUGCUCUUGAAUCAAUCAUUUCAUUAACUCUACAUGACAACAUAAUAUGACUUUUUUCGUUAGGUUCAAUAGAUUACUUCACUCAUAAAUGGUUCUAUUUUAGAUAGGUGGUUUUGUUGAUGAAACUUUAUCUAUAUGAAGGGAAAUUUUUGUUGUUACUUUAAUUUCAUCUUAUCUGACUAAAAAGGAAGCAAAAGAAAAAGGAAAUGAAACAAUGAAAAAAAUGCCUAGUUUCUGUGUAGACCCUAUAGGCUAUAACCAAUCUUAAAAUUGCAUUUUUUAUUUCAUGUUACAUAAAGUAGGUUUUAUGUUUCAAAAAUUGAGGACCGAUUUAAAGUUCUAGGUUUCAGGGGAAUUUAGACAUACUUUAGAACAACUCGUCCCUAACAGAGGUUUUAAUGUCUAUAAGUUUGAAAAAAAUUAGUGAGGAUUUUGGGACAUAUAGGUGGAUUUGGCAUUAGAGAGAAAGUUGGGGAUUUCUUUAUUCUACAAUAAAAAGUUUGAGAUAGAAUUGGGUUUUGAUCAAAAGUUUGGGUUUUUUUUUUUAAAAUUAUGCCUACUUUUACACUUAGACAAUUCACAUGCGAAAAAAUUUAGUUAGGUAAUUAUCCGGAGACACACGUCAAAUCGGAGGCGAAUCUAAUACUAAUCCAAUUUUCAAUCAGUGCAAUUAGGACCGCCCGGCCCAGGAUGCCACUAGCCCGACGAGACAAGAAACGGGCCUAAACUCCGCUGUCCCCCGAUGUUUUGGGCUGAACUUGGGCCGGCCAGUUAAAGAGAAAGCCCCUCGCCGGCCUCCGCUUCUUUACCCUGUUCGGUCGGAGCAGGAAACGACGACGACGAUCCAGAAAUCUCAAUCUCCACGACGUUCCCUGUAAAAACCCGAAAAGGGAAAGGGUGAGAGAGAGAGAGGAAGAAAGGAACUCCAGUUCAACCGGUAUUUCGCGCCACUCGCGCUUGGCUCGAGCACGAUCCGAAGCUAACGAUGCUCCGUAGCGUGUGGUAGCGGCGAUGGAAGCCGAGGCAAAGAGCGACGCACGAAGAAGGAGGGGGAGGAAGCCCCUCUCGGACCUCACCAACGCCGCCCCUCCGUCCGGGCUCGAGCCCCCUCGCAAGCCCGCCGUUUCGUCCGCUUCCAAGAGGACCGCUCCGAACCCUAGCUCCUCCGGUGCCGCGCCCCUCCCUUCCACGCCUCCUCGCCCGAUUGCAUCUUCUUCCGGUCAGUCUUUUUUUUUUUUUCCCGGGCAGCUUACGCUGGAUUCCGCGUUCCGAUUGAAUGUCGCGGUGUCAUUUGGAGUUUCGAGGAUAGCUGUCUUUUUUAGCGAUUGUUGAUUAGGUGUUCAGACUGUUAGAAACUUAGAUGUGGCUGGAUAAGGCCGGCUCACUGUGAUCUGAUCGGUUUUUGGUUCUAAGCAUUAUCGAGAAUCUGAAAUGCGUGAGAUUGUUAUACCGGAAAAAGGGUAUCCAGUCGUCAAUGAGAUUGGGGCCUCGUUUUGCUUAACUUGGUACUUUUUCUUGCCAAAUGUUUUGCUGUUUAGGGCGUGAUGCUUCCGAGAGGUCCGUGUUCUGUACAACUUAUAACCGCAGGAAGCCUGCGGAUAAAGGCAAGCGUAAAGAGAAGGGGGUUGCCGUCUCUAUGACUAGCUCUCCUGCUAGGAAGAUCAGAAAUAUGAGGUACCCGCCCUUUCUGAUAUAUUGGGUUUCUGCCGUUACGUAUGAGAUUUGAUUUGUAGCACCAUGUUGGAAGCAAAAGGGUACAAAGAGUGAGGUUGACGUUAAUGUAAGAUAUGCGUUAUGUUCAAAAUUCAGCAAGAAUUUGAAUUUUUCAACAUUGCUUUUUUGGCGGGGUUGUAACUUCUGCUUUAGCCAGUACUGUGGGUUUCAAGUGGUGUGCCGAUGCUCUCUUCGUAUCAUAGUGCAGUCAGUCUUAUUGGAAGAAACCUGGUGAUCAAUGCUGGUUUCACGCGACAUAUUUGAGCAGAUAAUUUGCCUAUUGAAAGUAAGGAUGUUUCACGUGAUUAGGAAACUUGCUGCUUGAGUGUUAUUAUAACCAUUUUUUUUUUCAUUAAGAUGGUUGAUUAGCACCUUUUUUCAUCCUUGUUGUGCAGAAGAAUUGCGUUUUCUCUUAGCAAAAUGACUGUUGUUUCUAAUUCUAAUUUAACUUAAAUGGGCAUGUACUUCCGUUCCCAUUCUCUAUUUUUAACGAUACCUUUCUGGCGUUUGCUUCUUCCUACACAGGAACAAGCUUAAUGACAAAGGAGGUGGUGCUGGAUCCAACUCAUGCUCUAUUCCAAAUAAAGGGGUAUUCUGUCAAGCUUCCUUUGCAUUUAAAGUAGUCUGGUGCACGUAUUAUAUCAUCUCUUUUGGCUUUCUUUUACCUCAACCCUUGCUUGUUUUCUUUUAUCUCAGUAGAUAGAGGAACAGUAACUGGACAGUGUUUUGUGCUCAAUUACGUUUGGGAUGUUGAUGCAGAAGCAGCAGAAGCCACCAUCUAGGAAAGAUGUACCUGAUGAUUCGUUGCAAGAUUACAUCAGGCAGCAGAAAUCUUACUUUGAAGAGAUUGAUGCAUUUGAAUUGCCAGAGGAGGAGGUAGCCUCUGUUAAUGAUUUGGACUAAGUGGAAGAGAUACAAGAGAUAUCAGUGAUCGGUGAGCAGAGCGCUCAAGUAAAGGGGGAGAUGUCUGUACAGUCAACUGACAGUGGAAUACUCGAUCUACAGAGAUUUUGGUUUGUAACUGCUAGUGUACAUAUGGAGUCUUUAGCUCAUUUACUCUGGAGCUUGUAGAAUUUGUCCUGCGUAUUCCAUGACUUGAUUAUGGAGUUUUGAGAUGAGUGGAGCUUUUGUAUAACAAUGAUUACUAUUCUGAAAAUUGCAUAUGCGUUGUGUUCACCAAGGCAAUCGAGGCUGCUUCUUUCUUACGCUUGGGUGUGGCUUUGGCAAAUCAUCCAAUUCUAGCAGAUUGUUCUAGGGAAGCUUGUCCAGGAAGCUGCUUAUAUUUGGAGAGCACUGUCUAGCCUUGAUAUGCAAUCAACUCGUUAUUGUUAAUUACUCCUUACAAUCAUAUCACUACUUUUUUGGGAUACAUAACAAUCAUAUGUUCUGUUUUUGAUAAUACAUCAUUGUUUGCAAUUGAGAUGACUGAUGCUAAUUUGCUGCAUGCUGCUAAUAAUAAGAAAGACGAGUGGAUCUUAAUACUGGUUUACAGAAACUGAGACGAGCUCCUUUAUUUUUCAAGCAGCAACCACAAAUUAGUCAAGAAGACAGAUACAUGACGACAAAUUGUCAGGGGACAUUAUCGAGCCCUGAUUUCACUACCGUGUUCAUAUGUGGCAGUUUCAAAUUGCAUAUAUGAGCUUCAUACUUAGUUCACUUUCCUGCAAUUUUUCCUUAUUUGACCAUUGCUUCCUUUGGGGGGCUUAAUUUCGCUCAUUUUGAUCAUUGCCUUGGCAAAAUCUCGGAAAAAUUUUCCUGUGUCGCAUGCAUACUUCUUGACCAGUGAAUCCACAGAACUGCCAUUGAAGAGCUCUUGAUCAGAGUGAAGAAGGCCCUUCUUCUGCAGUAAAUUGUGGUAGUAAAGGUUGUCAAAGAAGGUCGGCGUUUGGAUGUCUAGCCUUUGAAGGACACUAUCAUUUCCAAUCUUGGGACAUAUCUUCUGCAAUUUAUGGGCGAAGGAUGUAUCUAUGUUCGAGUCGUUGUAGAUCCGUCUUCGGAAGGAAGUGCAUCUCGCUAGGCCAAUGGU